AUGGCUCAAGCUUUACCAGUGUUUUCGAUGUCUUGCUUCAGAUUACCUCGAGGCCUUUGUGGAAGCAUUACGUCACUCAUUCGUCAGUUUUGGUGGGGGAGCAAGAGAGGCAAGAGGAAACCAUGUUGGGUAGCUUGGGAUUUGAUGACCCGAACGAAAAGUUUGGGAGGACUUGGCUUUCGGGAUAUAGAAAUCUUCAACUUGGCACUUUUGUCUCGGCAAAUUUGGAGAUUAUUGAAUGAUCCCUCCUCUCUUAGUGCACAAAUCCUUAAAGCAUCAUAUUUUCCACAAUGUACAGUCCUUGAAGCUCAACUAGGUCCACAUCCUUCUCAGGUGUGGCGAUCUAUACCUGAUGGGAGAGAUAUUAUCACCCAAGGAGCUAUCCGGCGUAUUGGUGAUGGAACUACCACGAACAUAUGGCAACAUAGUUGGAUCCCAAGGGACGGAAUGAUGAAGCCGGUAGCCUCCUUAGUUGCUGACCCACCGCAACUGGUUUCUGAUCUGAUCGACCACACUAGAGCUGCGUGGCGAGAGGACUUGCUUAGACAGGUGUUCAUACCCAUUGAUGUGGAGGCGAUCUUGCAAAUACCGCUCUGUACACGGCUUGUGGACGAUUUCUGGGCGUGGAAUGAUGAUCCAAGGGGGCGUUUUUCUGUACGGUCAGCUUAUAAGAUGAUUGUCAAGAUCAAGAUUGGGCGCGAGGCAUGGCUGGAGGAAAGGGAGGAUCCUUCCAACUCUGAACAUGAGAUGAGGGGGUGGAACUCGCUAUGGAACAUGUCAGUGCCACCGAAACUGCGCUUUUUCACUUGGCGAUUGGCGCAACACUCACUCCCUACGGGAGAUGUCCUAAACCAUCGUCAUAUGGCCACUACGAGUGCUUGCUCCCUAUGCGGAGGGCAGGAUAGCUGGCGACAUUCUUUGCUGGAGUGUAAUGUGUCUAGGUGUGUGUGGGCACUUUCAGAAGCCGAGAUGGUCGAGCACAUGUGGGCAACCUCAGAACCUGACGCACGGCUGUGGCUCUUUGCCAUGAAUGACUCUCUUCCACCGGAGCAAUUUCAGUUGAUGAUUGUUACUUUAUGGGCGAUUUGGAGUGCAAGACGGAAAGCUAUACAUGAGGAUAUAUACCAGACUCCGUUUGCCACUGACAACUUCAUCAAAGCUUACUUAUCAGACAUAGAGUUUUUGAAGAAGAAGGAGGAAGCACAUGGGAUAGCAGUACCACGACCCCGUACGUGGAUUCCACCACCAACAGAUUACUACAAACUCAAUGUGGACGCGGCCGUGUCACGCCCAGGUACGUUUGCCGCAGUUGGUAUGGUUUGCAGGGAUGAGAGGGGUUUGUUCAUGGGAGCGUCAGCUCUCGUUUUCAGAGGACUGCACAACCCCCAGGUGCUAGAAGCACUAGCUGUUCGGGAGGCAUUAGCACUUUCAGAAGAUCUCUAUAUCAACCAUUUACUUGUUGCCUCUGAUUGCAAGGUGGUGGUAGAUGCAAUCAGACAGGGAAGCUCAGCGGAAUUUGGAGCCAUUGUCGAGGAAAUCAAGGCUAGAGCAACUACCUUUAUUUCAUGUUCGUUUACUCAUGAGUAUAGGACCUCCAAUACGGAGGCCCAUAAUCUCGCAAAGCAUGCGUUAUCUUUAGGGUUCGGCCGACACACUUGGCUAGGACAACCCGGCGAUCUUCUUUUUGUACCUAUGAACAUUAUGAUUCAGUAA
rnacentral:rRNA from 1 species